rnacentral:rRNA from 1 species
AACGAACGCUGGCGGCAGGCUUAACACAUGCAAGUCGAGCGAAACCUUCGGGUCUAGCGGCGGACGGCGGAGUGACGAGUGGGGACGUGCCCUUCUCUACGCAAUCGCUCAGGGAAACAGGGCGUAAUACCGCUGAGGCUAAUUGCGGGUAAGAUCUUUCGGAGUAGGGUCGGCCCGGGAUGGAUUCGGCAGUUGGGGGGGUAAUGGCGCACCAACCCGACGUUCCAUAGCUGGUUUGUGAGGAGGAUCAGCCACACUGGGACUGAGACACGGCCCAGACUCCUACGCGAGGCAGCAGUGGGGAAUCUUAGACAAUGGGGGCAGACGUGAUCUAGCCAUGUCGCGUAAGUGAUGAAGGCCUUAGGGUUGUAAAGCUCUUUCAGCUGGGAAGAUAAUGACGGUACCAGCAGAAGAAGCCCCGGCUAACUCCGUG